rnacentral:rRNA from 1 species
AGCAGCCGCGGUAAUUCCAGCUCCAAUAGCGUAUAUUAAAGUUGUUGCAGUUAAAAAGCUCGUAGUUGAAUUUCGGGAUUGACACAUCGGUCGUGCCUUAAGGGGUAUGAACUGGUGUAGUCAAUUUCUCACCUUCUGGAGAACCACGAUGCCCUUAAUUGGGUGUCGCGGGGAACCAGGACCUUUACUUUGAAAAAUUAGAGUGUUUAAAGCAGGCAUUUUGCUUGAAUACAUUAGCAUGGAAUAAUAAAAUAGGACGGCAUGAUUCUAUUUUGUUGGUUUCUAGGAUCACCGUAAUGAUUAAUAGGGAUAGUUGGGGGCAUUAGUAUUCAAUUGUCAGAGGUGAAAUUCUUGGAUUUAUUGAAGACUAACUACUGCGAAAGCAUUUGCCAAGGAUGUUUUCAUUAAUCAAGAACGAAAGUUAGGGGAUCGAAGACGAUCAGAUACCGUCGUAGUCUUAACCAUAAACUAUGCCGACUAGGAAUCAGACGAUGUUAAUUUUUAAUGACUCGUUUUGGCA